GAUGUAGCAGUCAUUGUAUAACACCUCACGUGUGUGAUCACGUGAACGGAACUUGUCUUGGAGGAUGCGCCAUCGGAUGGACAAAUGAUACAUGUGUGGUUGUUGAUGUGGAUUACUGCGUUGACUGGACCCCAUCGUAUGCGUCCGUAAUCUAUCAUAAUGUAACAUGGAGAAAAGAGG